UACAGAGGGUGCGAGCGUUAAUCGGAAUUACUGGGCGUAAAGCGUGCGUAGACGGUUAUGUAAGUCAGAUGUGAAAGCCCCGGGCUCAACCUGGGAAUUGCAUUUGAGACUGCAUAGCUAGGAUGCGGAAGAGGGAAGUGGAAUUUCCGGUGUAGCGGUGAAAUGCGUAGAUAUCGGAAGGAACAUCAGUGGCGAAAGCGGCUUCCUGGUCCAGCAUCGACGUUCAGGCACGAAAGCGUGGGGAGCAAACAGG
rnacentral:rRNA from 1 species